UAUACUGUAGGUGUUUGCUCUGUUCUUUUCCACACCUUCUUCCCCGCAAACACUAUAUGUGCAACAGGGUAUAGCAGUGUGAGAUAGACACAGGUUUGAAUGCUCUAGUGUAAACGUGUGCCCUUUGCUCCAUCCAGUUGACCACAUCACUCAGAUGACAGCGCUCGUGUGUGUGUGUGUGUGUGUGUGUGUAUGUUUGCGUUUGUGUGAGUGAUGUGGUUUCAACCAUGCAGCAUCACAGAGGUUUCCAGUCAUUCUGCUCAGCAACCAGAGUUACCAACAGAUAAAGGAACUUAGUGUUCUGAUGUUAUCGUAACCCAUCUUCAUCUCUUUCUAUUUCCCUUUCUUGCUUUCUCUUUCCUCUUGAAAAAAAAAUCACUACAAUAUUUAUUUAAGUUUCCUGUAGGAACAAACAGUGGAACAUGAGACUGUGGCCUUAUCAUACUUGGUAUUGUUGUUAUGGAAUCAUUGUAAUAUUCCUAUGUGGGUAGUUUCUCUGUGCCUUUCAAUAAUAAGCUGAUACGUAACAGCAUCACAUGUGAGUGUUUUGGGCAAUUUCUGACAUGAUGUCAAUGAUAUUCUUGUAGGAAUCAAGAGUUUUGAUAUGAUUUUUGUUAUGACAUUUCUGAUUUAUAAUAGAAUUAUUUUAGUUGAUAAUUGUUGGGAUGCAGAGAGUUUCUUUUUCCAUCUCAGUUUCUUUUCCCGUCACCCCCGUGCACACAGCAGAGCAUGCUGCACAGCAGCCACUGCUGCUGCAGAGAAACCACACCGGACAUCUUUUGAAGAGGUUUCUCCUGUGAUGCGCAAACUAACACCAAAGAUCCUAGAAGGUGAAUGUAGCAGCAGGGCAGGCAGGGUGACCAGAGAGGGGAAGGAGGCACAGUUUGUGGUUUCCUCACAGUGAGAGACGGGUUGAGGGUAGCAGUCCGACAGGCAGGGGAGUUUCAGAUGAGCAGCAGGGGACUGAGCCACAUGUCAGGAACCAGUGGAACAUAUCCAACAGGGACAGAGAAGGAUUUGAUGAUUCAGAUAUCACCACCAUGUUGUUUUGAUUUGUCUCUUCCCCUUAAAAUUAAUGCGAAACAGCCAUUUGACAGCCUAUUUGGAAAAAAAAUCUCCUGGGGGGGCAUGUUCCCGGACCUCUCUACAUGGGUGGAGAUCUCAACCCCCCCCCCCCCCAAUGUUCAAUCCAAAGUUAUGCCCUUGAUCCUGGCCACAGUCAACCAUAUACACUGACAUGUACAGUAGCAUACAGUUGAAGGACAAUGUAGCUUUCAUGUACAAUCACAUGGCUUUCAAAUAAAUCCCUUCCUUUGCCGAAA